AACGAACGCUGGCGGCAUGUCUAACACAUGCAAGUCGAACGAGACCUUCGGGUCUAGUGGCGCACGGGUGCGUAACGCGUGGGAACCUGCCCUUAGGUUCGGAAUAACUCCCCGAAAGGGGUGCUAAUACCGGUUAAUGUCUUCGGACCAAAGAUUUAUCGCCUUUGGAUGGGCCCGCGUUGGAUUAGCUAGUUGGUAGGGUAAAAGCCUACCAAGGCGACGAUCCAUAGCUGGUCUGAGAGGAUGAUCAGCCACACUGGGACUGAGACACGGCCCAGACUCCUACGGGAGGCAGCAGUGGGGAAUAUUGGACAAUGGGCGAAAGCCUGAUCCAGCAAUGCCGCGUGAGUGAUGAAGGCCUUAGGGUUGUAAAGCUCUUUUACCCGGGAUGAUAAUGACAGUACCGGGAGAAUAAGCUCCGGCUAACUCCGUG
rnacentral:rRNA from 1 species